GGGGUUAAAUAGUUGCUUGGGUCGGAUACUAUGAGUAUCGACCAAGUCUAAGAGUAAAUGCAAAAAGUUAAGACAAAAAUCGAAUCAGGUUUGAAAAAGGAAAGAGAGAAUAUAUUAUUUAUUUUUUUUUUGAAAACUUGGAGAACAAUCCGAAAAUUUAAAAAAACAAGGAAAGUGAAUAUAACUUUUUUUUUUUUAAAAAAAAAAAAUGGAAAAAUCGAAAACUUGGAGAACAAUCCGAAAAACUUAAGGAAAGUAAAUAUUUUUUUGUGAAUUGCGACGGCUAGGGUUCAGAAAGAACUGAGUUUCGCAGGAAACUUCAGCUCUGAUACCAAAAUGUUGUAGGCACGGGUCGGAGGGUCGAACGGACGGACGGACGGACGGACGGAUGGCCGUUCCGCGGUUCAGUCUUGCCUCGGAUGGAUGGUACUGGCCGGCUUAUCUCUUGCUUGUGUUCGAACCUGAAACAGAUAGGAACCUUUAGUGAGUUUUCAACAGGAACAAGAACAGAAACUAGAUAUGAUUCUUUUGGUUUUUUUAUGGAAUUGGUUGAAUGAAAUCUAAAACAAAAGAUAGAGAAAGGAGUAGAUUGGCGGAUGGGAUCUGCUGCUGGACGUAUGUCUCUCUCAGCAAGAUGCCUAGGUCGGACAGGAAGAUAAGUAUGGAUCCGGCUCUUGCUGGACGUAUGUCUCUCUCAAGAUUCGGACAAGGAAUGGAAUGGAUCGAAGGACGCCACAAAGAACAAUGGAUCGGCUCUUUGAUAUGUCACACGGCUGCUCUCAAUGUUUCACACAACUGAAAGACUUAGGGUUUCUUUGCUAAAGCAAAAACGAUUU
rnacentral:lncRNA from 1 species